rnacentral:tRNA from 1 species
GGGGUUGUGGCUCAGCAGUAGAGCGCUCGUCUAACACAUGGGAGGCCCUGGGUUCGAUCCUCAGCACCA